AAUAAGAUUAUUUUUCAGUUUUUAGAUGUAAUGUUUUGACUCUUCAUCUUAUUUGAAAUUUUUUUUGCGAUUAAUAUUUUUGUUGUUACUAGAUGAUAAAAUAUGAAUAGUACUUUAUGCAUGACUAAUUUUUUAAAGUUUUUAUAGAAAAUUUUCAAAUAAGACGAAUGGUCAAAUGUUGGGCAUGAAGUUAUUAUGGAAAAACGAAAA
rnacentral:pre_miRNA from 1 species